UGGCAUCAUAUAGACCCAAUACAUCAUGUUGUAUGGAUGAAGGAACUCCCGCACCCACUAAUACAGGACAUGUAAUCACGGCAAUGUGUUUCAAAUGCCAGAAAGCGCUAUUUAGCAUCGGAACGGCGACUACGGUGAAACGGAUUUACACGAAGAACUCGAACGAGCUCUGCGGAUCAUUCCACUGUGCUGAAAGCAUCUAAACAGUACUAGGAACGCCUUCAUGCUAUGUGAACUACAAUGUGAUUACUCGGGAUUAUCUCCUACGUUAGGCGACUCAGGAAUUAUAUUUCAUCAUUUAUAGCUGUUUGAUGCAAUAAAAAUGUGAUAAAUAAUUUGAA
rnacentral:lncRNA from 1 species